GGAAUAGCAGGCUUCAGUGUGAUUUUGGUUUUGCUUUCCUGCUUGUUAGGGAGCCUUAGGGACAACAGUGGAAGCUGCUAUGGCCCUUAAUACCUCAAACUAGUGGCAUGGCCUUAGCCAAUUUCCUGGUCCCAUUUCUAGGUACUGAGAAUAAGUCAUUUUCCCCCGUCCUUCAUAUUUACUGGUAGUCUUAGGGAUGGAGAAAACUUAGUUAAAGCCUUAGCAACUUUUUAUUUUCUGGUGGCAAGGAUUACUGCGCAUUCCCACCCUGACUGAUGAGUCCAAGGAUCUUCACAGACGAAGGAAGCGCCACAUUCAAAUCUUUGUCCAGAGGCUUUUUAUAUUUAAAGUCUAAUCUAAAAAUAAGAAUGUGCAACACUGGGCCUCUGUUCUGUCUCCUUCAGGAUCUGUCUCAGCAGGGAAAUGGAUUAGUGAUAUUCAUAUAGAAUGCAGAA
rnacentral:lncRNA from 1 species